rnacentral:tRNA from 1 species
GAUUGUUUAACUCAGUAGGUAGAGUGCCUUUUUUACAAGAAGGAAGUCACUGGUUCGAGUCCAGUAACAAUCACCA